GUGAGUUUUGUUAUUCAUGUAUUUGUCUCUGUUUGUGCUAGUAGUGUGUGCUUCUUCAGCUGUGUGUGCAUACAGAUCACCUACAAUUAGGAUGUUUCCCUGGGUUUGGAAGUGGGUAAUUCAAUUGGAGGGAUGUAGAUUGUCCAUAGGAAUAUGUUUUGGGUAUUGGAGCUCAGGUCUUUUUUUUUUUUAAAUUUUUUUUAACUUAAGCCAUAUAUAAUUUUCACCUUCUCUAACAAGUUCAAUAUAAUUUGUAUAUUUAGCUUUAAACCAGAUAAGGAUUCCAUCCCUGAGGUCGUUCCCUGUGUCACUCCAGGGCAGCCAUUUGGUGUAAGUGUCCCUCUCUCCCCCUCCCCCUCCCCUUGAACUCAUUAAAUAACUCGUUACUUUUUAGUCCAAAGGCUGAUGAUCUUAACCCUUGGACGUUCCCUUGGCUAAUUACAAAGGAUUCGUAUUGUUUCAUGCUGCAAUAUGAGUUAUUGAAUUUGUUGUUGUUUUUUAUACAGAGUGGAGUGCAUUUCUUUGAUUCUCGCUCUUCUGUAUAUCUCUCUCUCUCUCUCUGCAUCUCUCUCUCUCUCUCUCUCUCUCUGCAUUUCAAUUAAAUGUCAUUGUUUUUAUUGGAAUGACUGUACAAUACAACAUUACCCAAGCACUUAAGCAGUAACAACAAUAAUGAUAGUAAUACAGGGAAAAAUGUAAUAAUAAUAAUUAAGUAAAUAUAAUUAAGUAAACUUAAAUUCCAUAAGUUAUACAUAUAGCAGAUACAAGUAAUGGACAGUUAGAAAAAGGGAAAACCCGUAGUUAAUGUAAUUUUCUUUAUUCCUUUCUUUUAGCUGUUUCAGUUUUGAAGCAAUGGUUGAAUCUUUUUUUAAAUUUUUUUUUAGUUGAGCCCCUGUUUUUUUAAUAGAUAGUUUAAAGGCUCUCUCUCGAGGUGUCCACCCCCUCUGCUCAAACUUCACUACCAUAACAUAGUAUUGGUUUCAGUUGCAAGACCGCGCUAUCCCAGGGCAGGUAUGGAUGGCGGCACGAUCAGGUGCUGAGGAAACUGGCAGAGGUAGUGGAGAGGAAAAGGCAAGAGGCAAGCGCUGGGAGGCAGCCGGGGAGCCAGCAGAGGACCCAUUUCAUUAGGGAAGGGGAAAAGGGGGACACUGUCAGAAGGAGACCAGCAUCCACCCUUUUGUUGCCAGGAGUGGAAUGGAGAAUGGAGGUGGACUUGGGCAGGCAGCUCCACUUCUCAGGGGAGAUCUGCAGCACCACACUGAGGCCAGAUGUGGUGCUGUGGGCCAGGACGGAGAGAUCUGCGCUGCUUGUGGAGCUGACGGUGCCAUGGGAGGAGGGGAUGGAGGGAGCCCACGAAAGGAAGAGGGCAAAGUACUCUGACCUGGUUGCGGAGUGCAGGGAGAGCGGUUGGAGUACACGACUCUUUCCAGUGGAGGUUGGCACGAGGGGGUUUGUGGGAAGCUCAAUGACUCGCUUACUUAAAGAGCUAGGGCUAAGGGGCAAGGAGCUACACAAAGCCACCAGAGAGCUGUCUGAGGAAGCAGAGAAGGCAAGUUUUUGGCUUUGGUUAAGGAGGCGGGACAAGGCAUGGGGAGCGAGC
ensembl:lncRNA